UACGGAGGGGGCUAGCGUUGUUCGGAAUUACUGGGCGUAAAGCGCGCGUAGGCGGACCUGCAAGUCGGGGGUGAAAGCCCGAGGCUCAACCUCGGAACUGCCUUCGAUACUGCGGGUCUCGAGUCCGGGAGAGGAGAGUGGAAUAGCCAGUGUAGAGGUGAAAUUCGUAGAUAUUGGACUGGAACACCGGUGGCGAAAGCGGCUCUCUGGCCCGGUUCUGACGCUGAGGCGCGAAAGCGUGGGGAGCAAACAGG
rnacentral:rRNA from 1 species